UACGUAGGUCCCGAGCGUUGUCCGGAUUUAUUGGGCGUAAAGCGAGCGCAGGUGGUUUAUUAAGUCUGGUGUAAAAGGCAGUGGCUCAACCAUUGUAUGCAUUGGAAACUGGUAGACUUGAGUGCAGGAGAGGAGAGUGGAAUUCCAUGUGUAGCGGUGAAAUCCGUAGAUAUAUGGAGGAACACCGGUGGCGAAAGCGGCCCUCUGGCCUGUAACUGACACUGAGGCUCGAAAGCGUGGGGAGCAAACAGG
rnacentral:rRNA from 1 species